rnacentral:rRNA from 1 species
UACAGAGGGUGCAAGCGUUAAUCGGAAUUACUGGGCGUAAAGCGUGCGUAGACGGUUACAUAAGUCGGGUGUGAAAGCCCCGGGCUCAACCUGGGAAUUGCAUUCGAGACUGCGUAGCUAGGGUGCGGAAGAGGGAAGCGGAAUUUCCGGUGUAGCGGUGAAAUGCGUAGAUAUCGGAAGGAACACCAGUGGCGAAGGCGAGUCCCUGGACAACACCUGACACUGAGGCACGAAAGCUAGGGGGGCAAACAGG